rnacentral:lncRNA from 1 species
GGGUUACGCGUCUGGAGUGGUGAUCGGCUUGUCCAUCGGAUACAUGGCAUUUGUGACUGGAAGGCCACAAUGGUUUGUAAGAAUGAUCGAAAGGAAGCAAUCCAGGAAGCUGAGAAGGGUGAUCAGACGAGGCAGAGCAAGUAGAAGAAGUUUGUAGAUGGAUCUCUAAAGGCCCAGGUGAGUAAUUAUUAGUUUUGUCUUUUGGAAUUAUAAGCUGGUUUCUACUGUUCUUUAAGUAGAUAGCAUGCCGAUAUUAUCGUAAUCUAACAGUUGACUUGCGAAAAUCACAAUCCUAAUUAAUUUCAAAUUAUGCUUAUUAUCGACAUCUAUAGUGAGAAACAAAAUGAGGAUAAUGUAUAAGAAAGAAAAUUUUAACUGAAUUAUUGAUGCGAUUGUUUUUACUUUUAUUGCCAUUUCAUUAGAACAUGUCGUCACGGACGUACAUUGUUGCAGGAAAUUGUGUGGGGGUAACUUUGGUUUGGGCCACGUACUUCAAAUUUGGGCGUAGAACGUACUAUUUAAAAGUUUGUGAGGAGAAAACAUUCUUUGCUUUUGGCUCAGUGAUAUCAUUUUAAAAACUCAGAGCUUAAUUAAUAACUCCAUUAAGUGGGUACAUUUCUCUUCUUGGAGAAAAUGUAUUAAAUGAGAGUCAACCUACCAUGCAGCGCUGUAUCUUAUACAGCGCAUGCAUGCAACUGGUACAACCGGUUUUUAACCGGAUAAUAUAAUAAAAAUUAUAUUUUUAUUUGUUUUUAAUGUGAAACAAUUAUGAAAAAAAUUGGAAAAAAAUGAUUAAAUUGUAAUUAAAUGAGGAAAAAGAUUGUAAUAAUUUAAAAUUUAAAAAUAGUAUAAAAAAAAAUUAAAAAAAAUUAACAUAUGACAAAAUGGUUACAUUCCUACUUAUUUUGUCACAUUCCAAUAUUUAUAAUGCAUAUUUCAAGUUUACUUUUCAAAUUCCUAUUUUUCAUGGUUAUUUAUCUAAAUUUUGGUACAUUGUUUCAACUCGUUUUCCCACUAGUUUUUGGUUUCAUAUAUCCACUCUUUUCAUUAAUUUUCAGCUUUUUAGGUGUAUAUUUCAAGUUUGUUUUUAUAUCUCUGUAAUGUAUUAAACUUUAUCUAUUUUUUGGUAAAUUGUUCCGAUUUAUUUUUCUACCACUUUUUGGUUCUAUAUUCCUACUAUUUUUAUUGAAUUUCAAUAUUUGGGUAAAUAUAUCAAGUUUAGUUUUUAUAUCAUUACUUCUCAUUUGAAUUUAUUAAAUUCUUGGUAAAUUAUUUCAACUUUUGGGUUAAUUUUUUCAACUCUUGUUCCUACCACUUUUUAGUUCUAUAUUCCUACUCUUUUUAUUGAAUUCCAAAUUUUUUUUUGGAUAUUUCAAGUUCAAUUUCGAGAUCCCUACUUUCCAUUAGAAUUUAUCAAAUUUUUGGUAAGUUAUUUCAACUCAUUUUUCCAUCAGUUAUUAGUUCUAUAUUUCUAGUUCUUUCAUUAAAUUUCCAGUUUUCAGGUUGAUAUUUCAAGUUUAUUUUUUAAUCUCAAUAUUCUAUUAGACUUUAUCUAAUUAUUGCUAAGUUGUUCCAACUUAUUUUUCCACUACUUUUGGUUCAAUAUUCCUACUAUUUUUAUUGAAUUCCAAAUUUUGGGUAAAUGUAUCAAAUUUACUUUUUAGAUCCCUACUUCGCGUUUAAAUUUAUCAAAUUAUUGUUAAGUUAUUUCAAUUUUUGGGUUAACUUCUUCCACUCUUAUUUUCACCACUUUUUGGUUCUAUAUUCCAACUAUUUUCAUUGAAUUCUAACAUUUUGCUUGGAUAUUUCAGGUUUAAUUUCUAGAUCUCGACUACUUGUUAAACUUUAUCAAAUUCUUAUUAACUUCUUCAAACUUUUAGGUUAUGCUCUUCAACUCUUGUUUCCACCAUUUUUUUGUUCUAUAUUUAUACUCUUUUUACUUAAUUCCAAUAUUUUUUGUGAAUGUUUCGAGUUUAUUUUUUGAUCCCAACCUGUUGUUGGAUUUAUCAGAUUUUGGUAAUUCUUUCCGAGUUUUAGGUUAAGCUCUUUAACUUUUUUUUUCCACCACUUUUUGAUUUUAUAUUCUUACUCUUUUCAUUGAAUUCCAAUAUUUUACAUAGAUGUUUCAAGUUCAUAUUUUAAAUCCUAUUUAUUGUUGAAGUUUAUCAAGUUAUUGGUAAAUACUUACAACUUUUGGGUUAAACUCUUCAAUUGUUGUUUCCACCAUUUUUUGGUAUUAUAUUUAUAUUCUUUUUAUUGAAUUCCAAUAUUUUAGGUAAAUAUAUCAAGAUCAUUUUUUAGAUCUCUACUUUCCGUUAAAAUUUAUCAAAUUCUUUGUAAGUUCUUCCAACCUUUGGUUAACCUCUUCAACUUUUAUUCCCAUCAAAUUUUGGUUCGAUAUUUCUACUCUUUUUAUUGAAUUCCAACAUUUGGGUGAAUGUUUCAAGUUUAUUUUUUAGAUCUCUAUUUUUCAUUGGAAUUUAUCAAACUCUUGUUAAGUCGUUCCAACUCCUGGGUUAUGCUUUUCCACUCCUUUUUCACCAUUUAUUGGUUCUAUGUUCCUAUUCUUUUUAUUGAAUUCUAACAUUUGGGUAAAUAUAUCAAGUUCUGUUUUCAGAUCCUUGUUUUCCAUUAAAAUUUAUCAAUUUUUUUGUAAGUUGUUCCAACUUUUGGGUCAACGUUUUCAACUUAUUUUCUUACCAAAUUUUGGUCCUUUAUUCCUACUCUUUUUAUUAAAUUCCAAUAUUUGAGUAAAUGUUUCAAGUUUAUUUUUUAGUUCUCUACUUUUCAUUAGAAUUUAUUAAAUUCUUGUCAAGUUGUUUCAAUUUCUUUGUUAAGCACUUCCACUCAUUUCCUACAAUAAAUUGGUUUUAUAUUCCUACUCUUUUAAUUGAAUUUCAAUAUUUUAUGUGGAUGUUUCAAGUUUAUUUUCCAGAUCCCUAUUCAUUGUUGGAAUUUAUUAGAUUAUUGGUAGAUACUUACAACUUUUGGGUUAAGUUCUUCAACUAUUAUUACCACCACGAUUUGGUUAUAUAUUCCUACUUUUUUUAUACUAAAUUCCAAUAUUCUGGGUUAAUAUUUCAAGUUCAUUUUUAAGAUCUCUACUUCUCAUUGGAAUUCAUCAAAUUCUUUGUAAGUUGUUCCAACUAUUGUGUUAAUCUCUUCAACUCUUUUUUCCACGAUACUAUAUUCCUACUCUUUUUUAUUGAAUUCCAACAUUUAGGUGAAUGUUUCAAGUUUAUUUUUCGGAUCUCUACUUUUCAUUGGAAUUUAUCAAACUCUUAUCUAGUUAUUCCAACUUUUAAGUUCUGCUCUUCCACUCUUUUUUCCACCAUUUUUUGGUUCUAUAUUCCCACUCUUUGUAUUGAAUUCCAAUAUUUUGAUUAGAUGUUUCAAGUUUAUUUUUUAUAUUUCUACUUUCUUUUAAUCAAUUUCAACUUUAUUUUCAAGAUUUUUUGGUUACAUAUUCUAACUCUUUUAAGUGUAUUCCAAUAUUUUGGCUAAUGAUCCAAGUUUACUUCAUAAAUUCAUGAUUUCCGUUAUAAUUUUUCAACUUUUUAGUAAAUUAUUCCCACUUUUAGGUUAAGUUAUUCCUACUCUUUUACACCUUACAAUGGUUUUAUAUUCCUAUUAUUUUCAUUAUAUUCCAACACUAUAGAUGCAUGUUCCAUGUCCUUUUUUUCAACUACUAAUAAUAUUACUUUUUUAAAAUAACAACAAUAUCAGUAAGGCCAAUUAUAUAUAACCCCUUAUUAUUUUAACAAAUAUCAAUUUACUAUAAAAUACUGAAUUUUUUUUUUAUUGCAACCCUUUAUCAUUUUCAACGUUUUGGGUCCUUAAUUUAAGUCCUUUUUUUUUAAUCUUCGUUACUUCAUGAGUUCUUCUGAAUUUGAAUGUAUAUAUACUUAAGCUUUUAAUCUUUAUACAUAUUUAUUAUCAUUUAAUCAUUUUAAUUAUAUAGUAUUUAGUUAUAUUUAAAAAAAUUUAUGCAUUCAUUUCCAUCUUUCUCUUUACUUUUCAAACUAAAUGCUUUAAUUUUUCAUAACUUCAACGGUAUAUAAAUAAAUAACAAUUGAGAAUGAUUGCAAUUGUAAAUGAAAUUAUCAUGCCCUAUUAAGUUAUCCAGUGCACUAAAAAAUUAACCAAAUCAAAAUUUUCAUCCAUUUGUUUGUAAGAAUUUUUUACAAGCUUCUGGGAAAAUAAUUUUUUUAUCCAUUCGUUUAAAAUUUUUGUCAUUCUAUUUCUUUUCAAAUAAUUUCUUUGACUUCAACCAAAAUUCAUUUUAACAGCUUUGCAUGCAAUUGUUAUACUCCUCAAACAUUUUAUUUUUCAAAUUGUUAUGAUCAAAUAAAUUAUAUAUUUAUUAUACGAUUAUUCAAUGAACCAUUAAAAUUAAUAUGUUAUAUCAAAGUUUUAAAGGUUGGCAAAAAUGCUUUGUUUGUACUUGAAAGAGAAAAAAAGAUUAAAACAAAUCGUUAUUCAUUAUUUUGAGAGAUUAUUUUAAUCAUUAAUUUGAUUAUCCAUACUUGAUCUUUUGACCUCUACAUAAACAUUUGUUCAUUUAUCAUUUCCCAUUUUGCUAUGAAAAAUUUAUAAUUUGAAAAAUAAAAUUCUAUUUCAAAUAAAAAAUGUCUAAAUUCAAGUUUUAGAUCAUGAUAAUUUUAAAUAAAAAAUUAGAAAAUUCUAAUUCUUUUGAACCACUUUCUCCAUUUUAAUUAUUUACGUUUAAAAUAACCUUAUAAAUUUAUUUUCAUCUUUCUCUUUACUUUUAAAAGAAUUUCCUUAAUUUUUUAUAACUUAAACAAUAAUUGCUAUGCUUCUCAAAAAAAUUUAUCUUUUAAAAAGUUAAGGCAAACGUAAGUUAUAACUUCCAAAAUAUUUUAAAUUAAUAAAAUUGAUGCUAAUUUAUUUGUAUUAAAACAUCAUUUGUUUUCUAUCAUUUCAACUUGAUUAGAUUUCUUUUUUUUUAACGUAAUUUUAUUUAUACUUACUUUUGAUGUUUCGAUAUGUUACACCAAAGUAUACUUUUUUUAUCUCAAAAAUAAAUUAUAUUAAGUCAAUUAUUCAAUUACAGAAUCAGUUCUUCAAUUUUUCUGACUUGACUAAAAUCAUUUUUAAAAGUUUUUUACAGCUUAAUUUGGUACUAAGAGAAUAUCACUUUUUUUUUAACAUCACUUUAAUUGUUGAAUUUGGCAUGUCCUUUGCAAAUAAAAUAAUAAAUACCCUAUUAAUUGUUUGCGAUGCACUAAAAAUUUAGGUAAACUAAAACUUACAUUCAUUUAAACAGAUGUCAUAAGACAAUUAGAUUUUUUCACAAGCUUGUGACCAAAUAGCUUCAAAAAAUUAAAUCAAUUUAUAGCUUCCACAAACUAAGACUCCAGCUGCUGCUCAUUUUAGAUUUCAAGUAUCUACACAUAAAAAAAAAAAAAAAAAACAAAUGACAUUAGAAAACACAAUGCAACCGCAAAGUAAACAACAAUAUUUAGAAUUUCAAAGGCAUGAUCCAAAUUCUUAGGUAGGAUCAAAUAAAUUUGGUUUUCAACAGAAAAACUCAGACUUUUAAUCUAAAAUAAACACAAAAUAUAUUUUCAUUUAACAUAUAUAUUUUGAGGGAUUUAUUAAUAGCAAUAUUCAAUAUAUAAAAAUUACUCUCGACUUGCAUAAUUGUUCGAUGCAACUUUUAUGUCUACUUUCAUUUAACGACCAAGUGAUCUUUGGAAUAAAGAGAAAGAUAACAAUACAUCAAGAAUUACCAAGAUCAAAAUUCCAUUUACCCACAAAUUCAUUUUAACUAGUAACAAGUGAUAUAAAAUUAAACAAUACGGCAUGUAGAUAUCAUAUAAAAAAUAACAAGUAAAUGUUUCUUUAUUUUAAAAUAGCAACUCAAAUCAUAUUACAUGUUACAACUAUAAUCCAAGGAAUUAAGGCAAGCAACACAAUCCAAUAAACAAUAAAGCAAAUAAAAUGAAAUCUAACAAUCAAACAACUACAAUUUCAACUGAAACAUUAGAGACUAUGCAAGUUUUAGAUUAUUAAAAUAUCUCCGAUAGCUAAAAGAAAAAUGCUAAUCAAUUACAUUGGCAAAAAUACUCAAUUAAAAUUUAAUCUUCUUCGCAAUGCUGAAACACUAGUUGAAGUUCCCAUUAGUAAUAUCACUGAAAUAUAAUCGAAACUUUAGACAUUACAGAAUUAGUUAAAAAUAUACAAAAAAGGAGUAGAUUACUUUACAAUUCCUAAGAUAUUGUAAUACCACAAAUAUAACAAAUUAAAAUAACAAGAGUUCAAUCUCUAAUUUUCUAUCAUUUCCAUUCAUGCUAUGAAUUAUUGUUUCAUAUCAUAUUUUUAUUUACUCCUAUGAUUAAAGAAAACUGUAAUGAGCAUAUCAAAAUCCUCCACAUGAAAAAUUAAAGAUAGAAACUCAAGAAAAAAAAUGGAAAAAGAAUGAAAAAUGGGAGAGGCUGCAACAAAUGACUGAAUAUGGACAACAUUCAUAUCAGGAAGCAAACAAAUGUUUAUGCAAAAUAAUUUAAGAAAUAUUAAGGAGCCACAAAACAAAGUCAUCACAGCUAAUUCAAAUAAUCGAAACCAUAUCUCAAUCCAUAAACAAUGACACAAGAGGUUACAUAAAAUUAGAGGAAAAUAGACAGUGCUACCAGUUCAAGCACUAGAGAGUGGAGAUUGCAAUAAAAAUUGAAAUGUAGAGAUGCAAAUUAAUUUGGCAUCACUUCCAAAUUAUCCAUCACCAUGUAAGUCACCACACAUUAGCCAUCCUCACUUUUCUGGUUUUUAUGAAGCCUUACCAAGCUUUCACAGCUUGAGCAAAUUGUCAUUUUUUCAUUCUAAGACAAUAAAUAAGAUGAAGAUAAAACCUUCUGCCUUGCGACAUUUUGUCCUUAUUGGAAAAGGGCUUACUUGCUCCUCCAACUUACAAUUUUUUCAAAGGAAUAAGAUUUUAGAAAAUACCCAUGAUCAAUUGUAAACUCAAAGCUCCAUACUUAAUCCAUAAAAAAUACAGAGCAAGGACUCAAACACCUAUACUUAAUCGAUCAAAAUACAGAUCAAGGAUAUACAAAAAGAAAAGAUCAAUGUGCCAUAAGAAGAUAUUCCCAAUAUUUUGAAUUAAUUAGAGACUAAGAACUAUGGACAACAAGCAUAAACUUGGCAGUAAUGACAUUUGAUAAGCAUGUCCAGGGCAUUACCCAAGUGAUAUUAGCAAAAGUAAAUCUUGAUAAAACAUUUCCAAAGACAAAGAGUCAAAUACAAGGGCAACCCUCACCACCCAUGAAUUCUUACAUACACAUUAAAAUUAAAUCUCAGCUUUUUAAUAUCAGAAAUUAGUAACUAGUCUCAUCUGAAUUCUGUAGUAUUUCUUACUUUAGAUCAAUUUGUAGUAUGUUGUACGUUUAUGAUUGGCCUUAAUGAUUACCAUGUCAGUAAAGAAUAAGUGAAAUAAAAUAAUUGAACUUAAAAGCACUUGUUAGAAAGAAAUGGAUGCUAAAUUACUAAUACACAUCUAAAGAUCCAUGGUCAUGCUUAUUCUAUAUAUAUUAAAAAAAAAUCAAAAUGUGUGUGUGUGUUUUUAAUAACACAUCAUCAUUGAUAAAACAAACCUCAACAACCAAGUCUAUAACACAUCACUGAUAAAAGAAGCCUCAACAAUCAAGCCUACAUAAACAAGAAUUUAUGAAGAUAUAAAUAAUACAGAAUUACAGGUAAGCCUAUAUAACCCAAACGAAUCACUUUUGGCUGUGUGGUUGAUAAAAUAAGAAUUUAGGCAUUAAAUCAUUUGUAAAUUAAGGUGCAAAAUAUCAAGUGCACAAUCAAUUUACUUCUUCUAAUCAUACUGCAUAGGAAUAAAACUUUGUAUCAUUUAGAGUACCAAAAUUCCAUCUUGAAGAUGCAAUUAAAGUGAACAACUCAAAACAAAUUAAAUGAAACUCUAAACUAAUUAAACAAGCAUUAAAUCAAAAUCUAACCGUGCUGUCAAAAUCAAAGCGAAUAAAUUUAAUUCUUUAAGUGAGUAAUAGAGGAAAUACCUAAAUUUCGAGAAUCAAAGUCGAUAAAAGCUGAAAGGCUUCUGUAUGUUUUUCGUUCUUCAAGAAUUAAAGACGAAAUUAAAAAAUGAGAGCUGUAAAUUGAGAAGAAGUGCCGAAUCACUAAUUAGAAGUUAUUAUUAAAAGGAAAUUGAUGAGAUUUUUGUUCUUUAUUGUUAUAAAAGAAAGAGAGCAACCUUCACCCUUUGAUUCAACUCGCUAGUCUAGGGUUUGUGUGCAGAGAGAGUUCAUGGAGGAAAGUGACAAGACGGUGAGGGCUGGUGAGCUGGUGGCUGAUAUGCAGGACGGGGACGGGGACGGAAACGGCGACUGCGAUCUGGGGACGGAAGGAAUGAAGACGGCGCGACUACUAGGAUGGUGGCUGGUUUGAGAUGCUUGAGCACGACUGAGGCGAGGGGCUAGGGUUUUCAACAAUAUGAAGUACUAAAGUGUUUAUAUUUUCGGGGUAAAAAGAAAAGCUAUAUAAGGUUUUCAAUUUUAUAUAGGAAAACAUUUCAAAAAAAUUAAAAUUUAAUAAAUCAUUCUUUCAUAUUGGCGGUAGUUUUACCGCCUAAAUCAAACCUUAUUACAUUUCAUUCUAAAUGUUUAUUAUAGUAAUACAAAUAAAAAAUAUCAAAAAAUUAUUAAUACGAAUAAAUUUAAUAAUAUUAUCCUUAUAUAAUUGGAUACAUAAUUUAUAUUCUAUUUGAUGACUUAUUUUUAUAUGUUUAUAUUUCAAUGAUACUUGAUUUUAUAAUCUACCAAUAUUGUAAUAAUUUUGUAACACUAAUAAAUGAAUUGAACAACAUUUAGUAUACAAAUAAUAUAACGAAAUAUAAUAUUGCACAUUACUCAAAUAAUUUGAUUUAAUUUAAAAACGUUUCUAAAUUAUUCAAUAUUAGUAGUAUUUAGAUUGUAAUUACCCAAGGUUGUGACAAAAAGUAUAUUGAUACCUCAUGAUUUAGUGAAACUGUUAUAUAAAUCUUGUUUUGAAUAAUUAUGUUCAUAUGGAAUAUCGGUGGGUCACUUUAGCUAAAGGACAUAAUUGUCUAAAAAGAGGAAUAUGUGAUUAUUUUUUAAAAUAAUAAGGGUCUUCGAGACAAUUUCACAAAACACAGGUUGUUUGUUAUCUCUUUUUCUAAUAUUUACAAUGCAAUGUGAAUAAGAAUUGACAUUAUAAUUAACAAUAUUACUCAGCUCCAAGGGGACGGUUGUAUGGUUUCUUCAUUUAUUGCUACCGAGUAAAACUCAUGAGAGAUUGUAAGAGUUAAAAAGUUAUAUUUGUCCUCUCCCAACCAUACCCCUAAAAUAAUAAUAUUAAAUUAACAAUAUUCUAAAAAAAUAAUAAUGUCAUAACUGAAUUUAGUUUAAUCGAAUUAAUAUUGACCAAGUGCUAGCCAUGAUAGUUAUUAACAACUUUUUUUUAAUACUGAUUACACAUCAAAUUAUCACAAACAAGGGAUAUCUCUGCUCCACUCGUAUUUCGUAAGGGAAAAAAACUUGCAAAUAACUCCACACGAUCAUGCAUAAUGUUUAAUUGAGAGAGUUUGAGUCCAUGAGAACUCAAACCCCUACCCUCACAAUCAUGCUUAACUGUGAGGGUAGAGAUUCACCGCUAGGCUAAAGGCCCAUUGGAGUUAUUAACAACAUUAAAAAAGGAAAAGACUUAGUGUGUGAAUUAUGAUAUCAUUAAUCACAAUAACACUAAUAAAAAUAGAUUAAAAAUUAACAAUACGUACUUAAUUGUCUAUUACAAGUAUUUGUAGAAAUUAUUGUGACUUAAAAAUAGUGAAUAAAUAAAAUCAUAAAAGUAAUACAUAAUAUAAUGAAUAAAGUAAUUAAUUUCACAUUAAUUUCUAUGAAUUAAUUUACACAAGAGACUGUUUUUUAGUAUUAUUUAAAAAUAUCAAACAUUAGAUUUUUUAUACUUGUCUAAUAUAGAAAUAUUAUAGGUCUAAAUAUUUAUACUACAUUGUAAUAUCUAAAAAUUGAUAAAAUAUUAUGAUAAAAUUUUUUAUGUAAAACAUUCUUAACUUUAUAAUGUAAUAUUAAAAAUUAAUUGGUCAAUUUAUUAAUUUAUAUUUAAAUAUUAUUCUAAUUAGUAUAGAAGUCUCAUAUAUUUUACGUGUUUUCAUGUUAUUCGGAGAAAAAAAAAAGUAGUGUAUUUUCAAGUUAAAUUGAGGGGUUCUUUGGUAGUGUUCUACUUUGAACUGAUUAUUUGGAUAUUUAUUUGAAAUGAGGGUAGCUGUAUGAUAAUUACCUUUAAUAUUUUCCUGUUUCAUAAUUGAUAUCGGUGGCCGGUUACAUCCGCAAUAAUAAAAAAAUAAUAAAGGCAGCUGCAUGACAUACAGCGCUGUAUUACAGGCCGACCCAUUAAAUGAAAUCCCACACAUCUGCCAAUGGACUUGUACAGCGUUGACAGCACUCAUGCUCUCAAAUCUUGAGAGCAAUACUCUAUGGUAUACAUCUGAGGGUAGAAAUUGAGUUUUGUCAUGAUAAAUUUAAUUUAUUGAAAAUUUUCGUAGAUCUUUGAUUGUAAUAUAUGUAUCUGUAUUUCAACAGGAAGAAAUCACCCGCAUCCAAAUUUAAUUAAGAAAUAUCUGCACUUUUUCAUAAAUCAACAUUUUUCAUUUUGUAGAAAAAUUUAGAGGGGUUUUCAUAGCACUGCCAUACUUAACAGCAGUCCCCACGUACGGUACGGCCCAUGAUUCCAAUGAAAAUGGAAAUGGAUCUUAUUUUUUUAGUGGAAACAAGAGAUAUAAAAUUUGAAUUUGGAUCUUAUGGAUGGGGAGGAAAUUGAGUUGUCAUAAAAUUAUAAUUGAAAAAAGAAAAAAAAAAGUAUUCACUCAAAUGAAAAUGUUUGCUCAAAACAUGAAAUUGUUUGCUUUUGUUCUCGUGACAUAGCUGCACUUGAAAAUGAAACAGUUGAUAAUGAGUAAUAAUGUCUGGAAUGACGUCGCGAGAAAUAAAGAAGGAAGAGCUUUCAAGUUAUGAACUUUCUUUUCUGUUAAUUUUUAUAUUAUUUAGUUGCUUUAUUAAAUAUUUCUUUUAAACUUAAGGUUACACAAAUUAAGAAUGAAAUUAAAAACAGUGGAAAAAAAUUAAUGUCCAACUUUGUUGGGAAAUUAAAUUUUUGUUGAUCGAUAAGUUCUCUUCUCUUCCAGACAACUUAUGACAGCUUCAAUUGAUCAAUCGUACAAGUUCAGCAUAUAUAAUCCAUAAUUAUAGAGAUUACACAUUCUAAUUUGUAGUAAUGUAAUUAAGAAGUAAAUGGAAGGUCUAACAACUUGCUUAACAAACUGAAACAGAAUCAAAACAGAGGAGGGAAAAUGAAUUUUUUCUGUAUUUGCUUUUCAGCCUCGGAGAGCACAUUAUCCUUUCUGAUUUAUUGUAGAAUUUCUCAAUCAUAACGUUAGGAUUGGUUAUUGUAACCUAUGUGAUGUGGACUAAUUGAAUUUUGUAGAAGGUUUUGAGUGAAAAUUAAUAGAAAAUAUGAUUCUAACUUUUAAGUAUCAAUUUGUCAUAUUAAAAUUUUUCAAAUAUUGGUCUCGAUUAUAAAUUAACAUCUAAUUUUCUACAAAUGCUCUGCAUGUCUCAUUUGUUUUUUAUGAUCACAUAUGUUCGACAUUACAACAUUAAAAUGGUACAUGAAAUUGCAAAUAUCAUGAUCCGAGCUAAGGUGGGUAUUUGCUUCUACUUCUUCUUCUUCAUAUUUAUUACUAAUAUUCUACAAACAAGUCGUUUAUUUGAUGACGAUUUGAACACUGUACAAAAUAAUAGCCGUUUAUAUAUGUAUGUGUGUACACACGCUUCUUUAGUGCCAGUGCCUUAAUUUGUUUUUUAAUGUAGAUAUGCUUUUAGGAUAUGCUAUUUAAGAUUGUUAAUUUUUAAUGGUAAUAAACCGCGCAGCCUUACUGUUCUUUCAAAAAUAACUCUUUAAAGUUGCACUGCUUAAGAGCAUGUCCACAUUAAGAAAAUAAGGGCACAACACCCGAAAAUGAUGACAUACAUACAUACAUACCUACGUGUGUGUGUGUGUGUCAGAGUAUUCUUAAUCUUAAGUUGACCAUCAAUAAUUAAUUGAAAAACAUUGUAAUUACCUAGGACUAUAGACACGAUCACAUUUUUUAUUACCACACCAUUUCUUCAUUCAUAAGUUGAUAUUUAUUAAACUCAAAAACUUUAUUUUAUUGCUAAUUAUUAGAUCUAAAGUUUGACUCUAAAUGAUUUAUAUGAUAGAUUUUAUCACUAAUUAUCAAUUACUUAAAUGUAAUUUAUGGAAGCUUUGAUUAAAAGUUCAAGGAUGGUUUUUGACACAACUCAAAAGUGUUGUUUACUACCAAGUAUAAGAGUAUUUGGUUAUAAUCUAACCCGGUGAGUCUGAGGUUGAACCAGAAGAAGUUUAAAAUCUAGUAGUUAAUUAGUAAACAAAGAAAAUUAAAUGAGGGAAAGGAAAUUAAUAACAAUCAACUUAAAAAUAUGCUACGAUUUCGGGAUCCAUUCUCGGAUUUUAAAUUAUGGAUAUAACACUCUAAUUAUGGAUAUAACACUCUCUCAUAUUUGUAUUUUGCAUUAAUUUUGCCAGUUAAUUAUUAUGUCAUUUAAUCUUAACUAACAAUUAGUGUGAUAAAUAUGAGACCAAGUACCUAAUGUGUUACAACUAUAUUGAAGUGUCGACAUUAUGUCGAAAUACCAUAUAAUCUAAAGAGAUCUAAAUCUAUAAAUUAAUAUGACAUUAAAGUUGUUCAUUCUAAAAUCUAAAUACCCAACUAUGACAUUAAUGUCGUUCAUUCUAAAUUAAUAAGACAUUAAUUUCGAAAAUUGUUCAUUCUAAAAUCUAAAUACCCAACUAUAGAGUUCCCAAGACAUUGUGGAAUUUGUCCAAUUAAGCUAUUGUUAGACAUAAAGAUGGCCAACAAGUUUGAGUGGUGCGUGGCACGACACAGGCAUAAAAUAUUAAGGUCGUAAAAAUCUUAGUUUCAAACAAUAAAAACUCUAAUUGUUUUAUGUUUAUUAAAUAAUUAAAUGAUAUCAUGAUUUUAACAAAUAAAAUUAUAAAUAUCAUGACUUUAUAAAAUGACACAUCUAAACUUUUACAACUUCAAUAUUUUAUUUAUGAAAUCAUAAAUUAGUAAGAAGAAAUAAGCUUCAUUGCAAACGAAAUAUUUUCACCAUUUAUACACAAAAAAUAAAAAUAAAAUUGUGAAUGAAAUGUGUUUUAUGAUAAAUUAAAAGUUGCAUUUUUGGAUAAGAUAAACAGUUAAAUUGUGAGUCUUCACUCUUCAAAGAGAAACCAAAAUGGCGCGAGCUUUGCUUCAUUUGAAUAGCACAGCCACGGCCAUAAUGGCCAGUGCUACAAGUGCUACUAAAGAAACAGUUCUUGUCAGGCUCUCUCCAGGCUCUGCCCCGCCUUCAGAUUGUAGUUGGCUCUCGAAACAGGUGAAAUCAUUAAUACUCUUUUCUUUCUUCUAGUUGGUUCCCAAGAAAAUGCAAGAAAUAAAGGAGAAAAUUUUUUCAAGCUUUGUUACUUUAUGUUAUUUUUAUGAUUACUAUGUUUCUUUGGUUCUUUUAAAAUUUAAAUUCUAGGUGAUGGCUGCAAUGCUUUUACAUAGUUUUGGAAGCACGUUUAAUUAUAAGUGAUUAUCCAUUUAUCCCGCUGUUGUAGAUUAAGGCUCCAUUCGGUAAUGGUAUUGCGCCAUCAUGACUUUUAAGGCACUUCCACUUUUAAACAAGUGCUUUAAUUAUAAAAUAAAAGUUUAUAGUUGUGAAAUUUGUAAUGAGAUGUUUGGAAGUAAAGAAAAUUAGAGAGAAAAGUAAAUGGAAACUUCUCGAUUGAUUUUUGAGUGAUUAUGAAUGAACACAGAAAUGAGCUUAUUUAGCUUUAUUUAUAUCAGUUAACUUCUACUAACUUCUUAACUAACAAAUUAAAUCUAGUAUAGCCUAUUAGCAUUUGCCACGUGGCAAAGUCGUUACAACAAAUGGCGUGGGCUGACUUUGAUUUAGUGCAUCUUUGGGCUAUGAAAUGUUGAAUUUGCCCUUGUUAGCCAUGAGAUUAUAACAAAUUGUUCUUUGUAUGAACCAAUGGGAAGGGAAAAUCAAAUAAGCUUGACUCUUAAUCUUUUCCUUCUCUUGAUGUCUGCGAUACUUUUUGCCAAAUUCCAAUGUCUUCUUGUACAAAAAGUGGGACGCAUUGUUUUGUAUUAAAACGAAUUUGUCACUUUAACACAUUGUUUUCUUGAAUUAACCAAUUCAAUUGGUAAAAUCUCUCGGGUGUAAAAAAGAAGUCUAGAAUUCAAAUCUUCCUAUGUAAAUAAAUAAAUAAAAAAAGAGUUAUCAUUAAUCUACAUUUGAAAAAAAAAAGUUUAUUCAAAUGAAAAUGCUUUUGCUCUCAAGCACAGAAGCAUUAAUAUCCUGCUAAACUGUUGUUCGACUUGCAAGUUUUUGGAUCAAAUAAUAAAGUUUGUGCCUUGAGAAGUUAGUUCAUGGCUGGAAUGUUAUUUCUGAUCUAGAGCCAGCGUCCUGAGAAUAUUUUGCAAUGGGAAAAAGGUGCUGCAAUUGCGUCUACAUUGUUGAAGUUUUCUGAAUUUUCUGAAGUUAACAUUGACAAUAGAAGACUCAUUGGUAGGCAUUAUUCUUUUAUACUAAAUAUAUAAUUGAGUUCACAGCUAUCCAAAAAAUGGGAGAGUUUUUUUUUUUUAUUUAAUUACAAAAUUAUCCUUAUUGAAACCCAUAGAGGAAUAUUUAUACUUAUUAAUUAUAUUACUUCUUCAACUAUCAUCAAAUUCUUAUUUGAGUUCAUUAUUUAAAGAAUAAGUAUGUUAUCUAAAUAAUCUCAUAUAAUGUACUAAACAAAUAUUUUGAGGAACAAGACUCAUUUUGGCUCCUUUUUAUUAGUUAUAUCUUUAAUUUCUUAUUCAUAAAAUUCUCUCGCAUUGUACUAAAAAAAAAAAGAGAAAUUCAGCCCACCCAAAAAAAAAAAAUGUUGUUAGCGUCACCAUUGAAAGGGGCUAAAUUAUGUACUGUUUGACUAGUGAAACUCUUAUCAUGUCUGCUAAUAUGCUGCUUUUGGAUCCCUUAUUCUGAUUUCCAUGGCAGUGAUGGCAGCAGAGCUUGUUCAUAUUGGUAGAAGUGAAAGCAAAUUAAGGAGAGAUAGAGAGACUAAGGUAACCAAAUAGAACGUCCACUAAGUUUAAUAUGGUGAAGUCCUGGAUCAGUCGCUUUGCUGAAAUGAUUUCAAGUAAUCGUCCACUGUGAUUGGCAUUUUUCUCUUAUUUAAGUUUUGGUGAAAGUGACAGGAAGUGUUAAGGAGAAAAGAUCAGCCUAAUUCAAUGCCUAGGGAUGUUACAAUCAUUUUUUAUUACUAAAUAUUUUUAAAUUAGGAUAAUGUAUUAAUGGAAAUUUAUUUUCAUAAUCUAACAAUUGAUUUACAAAAACCAGAAUCCUGAUUAAAUUCAAACUAUAAUUAUAAUCAAUGUCUAUAGGAAAAGGGAAAACGAAAAUCAUAUGUAAGAAAAAUCAUUUCAUGAUGGAGGAAAAUUUACCUUAAUUACUGAUGUGUUUCUCUUCAGGAAUUUUAAUCUCUUCGUACCGAAAUUUAUUUUUGCUUUAAUUUAUUUCUAUAGCUCAUAAGAACUUGCUAUCACAGAACAUAUGUUUUGAUGGUAAACUUGAUCAAAUUUUUGAGGGAAAAAAAAAUUGAUUUGAAAUAAUAUUAUAUUGUUGCAGGAAAAAAAAAAAAGUGAGGGCAACUUUGAUUAGGUGUAUCUUGGGCCACGUACGUAUCAGGAAAAUUAUAUUGCUGCAGGAAAAUAGAUUUUCCAAAAUCUGUCCUUUGACCGACCGAUCCUAUAUGAUCCAUGUUCAAAUUGGCCCCGUAUGUGCCACGUCAACAAUCCAAACUCGGCCACGUCAUCAACUUCAAAAUUCUCGCCACAUCAUCACUGAACUGAUUAGGAAUUACGGCGGAUGACAAUUUGGACAAGCAAAACAGUUGAUAAUUACAAAGAGGGAACACUAAAGGCAGACCAAAGUGGCACGAGCUUCGCUUAGUUGUACUAUACACGUCAUUACAAAAAAAAAAAAUUCGAAACAGAGCUCAAUUUCAAACGAAGAUCCAAAACGCCAGCAUUUUGUACAGCCGUUGCUGAGAGUUUUUUGUUUUUAUAUGCCGCAAAAGUGCUUAUUUUCCAAAUAUAGAUCCCUUCUUACCAUCUUCAAAUUUUUCUUCUCAUUUUUAUUUCACUUUCUCAACUUCAAAAUUCACCUGCAUAAAGAUUUCUGAUUUGGAAUUGGAAUUGUGAUUCUUCACUUUCUGAUCCUUCCUAUGAGUUUCAUGGAUGCGGAAAAUGUAGAAGUACUAGUUUGAAAUUUUAUAAAUUGUUCAAAAAACCACUGUCCAAUAGAUUAUAAGGCUAAGCAACAAGACUUGGUGCUCAAACUAUAAAAAGUAUUAUAAAGACUUGGUAACUCCCUUAUUCACCUGCAUGGCAUAUCUGUUCUUGUGACUUCAAUAAGAAAAAAGAUAGUAUGGAUCAUGUAACUCAGCCUUUUCAACUUUUGAUUUGCCUCCAGUUAUUGCUCUUAUAUCUUCAGUGGACUUGACUGAAAUGAUCAUUAAUGACUAGAAAAAAAUAUCUUAACUUAUAAGGUGGACUUGACUGAAAUGCUAAUUAAUGACUUUGAGAAAGAAAGACUUGUUCAGUUUUUCUAUACAUACCUCUUAAUAUGGACAUAUCUUAGAUCACUAACUUUCAACUUUUCUGAUCCUUCCCAUGAGUUUCACUAUCAUAGCCGUGGAAAAGAAGUUUGGAGUUUUACAAAAUUGGCAAAAAAUAUUAAUUAAGAUUACUGCUCCGCAAUUCAUACAAUUGAAAAGAUCACUUUAGAGCCUUAUAGGGGGAAGGGAUUGAAGGAAAGAUGCCUUUCUAUUUUAAGUUCGGUAGUAAGAAAGAGCAGGCAACUUGGCAUAAGUUUUCAGCUUAAGUUCAUACAGUUGACCAGUUACAUACAUAUAUGAUGACUUAAAAUAUCUGAGAGUUGGGGUUUCUUUUAGUAUAAACGCAUCUGCUUUUGGACAGGUUCGUGGAAAAACUAGAAUAUAUUUUUGAUUUGGUAAAUUAUGUAUUGUUUUGACCAGUUACAUACAUAUAUGAUAACUAAUGGAAGGUCUAACAACUUAGCUUAACAAACUGUAACAGAGUCAAAACUGUAACAUACUUAGAAUAUUUUAUUUGUAUCAUAUGCUAUUUAUUCAUAAUGCCCUCCAGUUAUUACUCUUUGAUAGUCAACUAAUGGAAGGUCUAACAACUUAGCUUAACAAACUGUAACAGAGUCAAAACAGGGGAGGGAAGAUGAAUUGUCACUACAAGAAAAAUGAUAUUUUAUUACAAAAAAAAUUAGUCACUAAAGAUAAUAAAUUAGUCACCUUAUGUUUUUUAUGACAAAAAAUAAAUCGUCACUUGUUAGUCGUAGAAAGACUGCCUUAAAAGGUUAUAGCGACCAAAAUUAUUUUUGUCAUUGAAAAAUGAACUUUUUAUGACUAAACAUUUUGUAUCAAAUUAAAGUUUUAAGAGUCAUAAAUAAUAUUAAAAAAUGACAAAAUAGUGCUUUGAAAACAUAUCCGUGACAAUAUUUCUUAGUCAUUGAAUGUUAAUUUUGGUGAUGAAAAAUAAUUGUCUCCAAUUGUUAAAAUUGGUGACUUUUUUUUGUCGUAGAUUAUAAUCACUGUAGUCUUGUAUGCUUUACUAAGAUUGUAAGUGACUAAUCUUUUUUGUCAUUAGAAAAUAUCACCUGUGACUAAAUUUGAUAGUCACAAAAAGUUACAUCAAAUUAAAUUUAAUGACCAAAAUUUUUAUUUUGGCAAUUAUUUUGUCAAUAUUAAUAAUAACAAUAAAAAAACUACGAACUCUGAUAAGUAAGAAUGUAGGAAUGAACAAAGAAUUAUAAAAUUAAAUAAACAAAAGUUGAUAAAAAAUUAUAAUAUAAUCAAAUAAAUUCAACCACAAAAAUUACAAAUAUCAAUUAUCUAAAAUAAUAUAAUGAGAAAAUUAAAAAGGAUUACUAAUUAUCUUGGUCCUUGGUAAUUAUUGAUGAAUUUAAUGCCAUUUGUAGUUGUCAUGAAAAUUGACUUGAACUUGUCUUUCAUUGUCUUCUUCAAAUGCUUCCAAACUUGUAGAUUAAAGACGUUGGCCUCAACGUUAUCCUACAAUAAAUAUUUUGACAAGAAUAACAUUAUAUACAAAGAAAAUUUUUCAAGUGAAAAUUAAAAUAACAAAUAAUUAAUUUGUAACCAAAAAGUACAACCUUACAAAUACUAUAAUAGCAAAUUAUAUGUUAUUCUUUAAGCCAAUAUAUUUCUCUGUUACUUAUCUCUACUUGAAAUUUCACAAGUAUCCGUUGGCCAUAAUAAUUGAAAUCCAGUGCAUGCAACAAACUAGAUAAUAAUGAAAUUAAAUAGAAAAAGAGAAAGUUUAAAUAAAACUUCUGCCUUCUCUAACUUCUCAGCUAUUACUUUCUUUUCAGCUUAUAUUUUCUUUUAACGCCUUUCUCUUCUCUCCUUGUUCAUGCUUGAAAGAAAUCACAUGAAAUUUAUGCACCUAAGAAACUUGACAAGCUGCCAAUCUUAACAAGCACUAGAAGGUGGUCCAUAUAAAUAAAUAUUCUUGCAAUAUUAUUAAGGCUAAAUGGCUCACCAAAUACAAGAGAUGUUUGAUCCCACAAUUCAAUUGAAGAUUCAAAUACUUCAAUAGAAAAUCAGCUCCAACUGCAGUCUCGCAAACAAAAAUCCACUCUCAAUUUUCUAUCCAAUUAAAGCUCCAGUCAUGGCUCCUAUGAAGGUGCCCACUACAUGCAAUAUACAAACGCCAAAUAAAAACCUAACUUUUGGAUAGAAUUAAAGUAAAAAAUAGAAUGUCCAAAACCAUUUUUUUAUAUGCUCAAUUGAUUCCACAAAAAUUAAGAUUCUACAAAAAUGGCAUUCAUGAUGCAUAAAUCAAAUUUAAAUUUCAUUUACAUACAAUCAAACUAGCCAUAUUUAUGAAAUCCCAAAUUAAGCAAAAACCCACAUUACAGAACAUAAUCAAAUAUAAGAAAACAUAUACCAGUCAAUAAAGAAAAUUAACAACCGUUAAUGAGAAUUCACAAAGCAAUUACAUAAAUGAGAUUUUUUUUCAAAAAAAAAAAAUAUUGCAAAAUUGCAAAAUUCUUUAAGCCUUUCAAAGAAAUUGUCACACAAAUACAAAGAUGACAUAGAAAAUGAGAUGGUAAAGCGUCAUAUUCCAUUAUUAAUUUCUCCCAAAAUAAAUAGUUGUAACAAUUCAAUUCUUUGUGCAAAAACAAAAGGCUCAAAUGAGGCACUUUAUUUAUAAAGAAAAGAGAUGAAUUUUCAUAAGGAUACAAAUACUUAUGGUAAACCAUAUCUACAAACUCCCCUGUCCUGUACGACGGCUUCAAGCCGUUUCUUGGCUAUGGUGUAAAUAACAGAAUCAAAAACACAUAUCGUUAGGUGAAGCUUCCAUAGUCCUUAGUCAAUAAUCACCAACUAACCACUGUUUGAAUUUGGAUCCAAUGGUGAUGACUUUAUUAUUAAAAAAGCCGAUGUCCCCUUUAAACUCAAUCACUCCCAAAAACUCUCACUUUAAUCAAAACUCUUUGUUACUUCACUAGAUUUUCAACAACCAUGUCCAUAAUUUUGCAAACCCAAGCCUUUGUAGGCAAUCCUAUACGAUCCAAGACCCCUAAAUCAAUUGACCCAUUUUCUCCAACCUCGACUCUUGGGUAUAGUGAGCGUGAGUUUUGCUUACUAGAUACUACAACUCCCGAUUAUGGCCACUGGAAAUCAAAUCAGUGUUGAGGUGGCUGGUUGGCUACAACAAUUGGCUAUUAGACAUCUAGGGUUUUUUAUUUUUAAGCGAUCCAUCUCCUUUCUUUGUUUUUUUUUUUUUGGUUCUAUUCUCCCUUUUUCUUUUUAUUGUUUCUCACGAUCUCUUUUUUUUUUUUUUUUUGUCUUUUUGGUUUUCUCUUUUUACUUUUUUAUUUUAAUUACCGAUGUUAUAAAAAAAAAUUAAAUGACUGAUGUUAUAAAAAAAAUUUUAGUUACUCGUUUCCAAAUUUAUUUUUCUUGUUUAGUCACUACAAGUAAGUAUUUAUGACAGCAAAAAUGGUUUUGAAAUUAGUGGAAAUCAAACCGCUAGAGUGACUAAUAUGUUGUGUCUCAAUAAACAUUAUUUAGUUACGAAAUAUAGUUGUUGCUUAUAAUUAUAUUUUGCAACCACAUAUUUUGUCACAAAAGGUUAUGUAAUGUCUCAAAUUACUGAAUUUUGAAAGCAAUUAUUUAGCACUUAAAAAACUAUAUUAUUUUGCGACUAAUCUAUCGUUUGUCAUAAAAAAAGUAAUUCAAAGACCAAUUAAUGCGUCUAAAAAAGAGAAUUAAUGUUUGUAAAAUAUAACUUUAGUCAAGACGAGACUAUUAGUGACGAUUUCAAAAGUUUGUCACUAUAAUUACUAUUCCAUGACCAAAUUUUCGAAUGUCAUUAAAAAAAUUGUCUUAAAAAGUCUAAUUUCUUGUAGUGUGUGUUUGUGUAAAUGACUGUUAGUCUAGCUAGCUGUUACACCGGCAAAUAUGACAGAUAACGAACAUCUCGCCGAGCUUAAGUAAAUAUCUAAAUGGUUAUUGAUUGGAUACAGCUUCAGCUUUUGGACUGGUUUGUGGAAAUUGAAAAAAUUUGAAAAGUGUUCCUCUUGAAGAAUCAAAGUCUACUUUAUACGUAAAGAAAGGGGAUCCCAGUAAAGAUAAUCCAUCAAUGUUCAGUUACAUUCGAGCGUGUUGACUACUUUCAGGAUGAAAGACUUCUGUUGUCCCAAGGAGUUUAAUCGAGUGAUUUUUUAAGUAUUCCACUGACCAACAUGAGAUUCCAAAGCAAGACUUGGUUCCCUAAGUCAAUAAGUAUCGAGGGGUCCACACGCAUUUGCGCGAGACCUCGCUGAGUUUUGCGAGGUCCAUACAUACUGAAUAGCUUACCUCAGAAUCUUCACCUGCUGACGCGAGAAUGUUUAGAACCUUUGAGGAUGCAAGGCCAGUUACACUCCCCUUAUGAACAAAUUCAGUGGCAGCCUUCCUCAAACAUUUGCAAAAAGUUGUGUCUUGACAAGUCUUAACCUCAAUGGCAAUUGGUUGGAAGGACCGAUGCCUCCAUCUUUGGUUAACUAUCGGCAUUAUAAGCUGGUUUAUGUAUUGUUCAUGGAGUAGAUAACCAGCUGAUAUGUUUCAUAUUCUAACAGUUGAUAUACAAAAAUCCCAAUCCUGAUUAAAUUCAAAUUAUGUUUAUAAUCGGCAUCUAUAGUCUAUAGAGAGAAAGAAAAUGAGGGUCAUAUAUAAGAAAUCAAUGAUAGGACGUGUUCUCUUGAUCAGGAAUUUUAGACUUUUGGAAGCUAGUAGUGGAAGUCAAAUAAUCUCCAGGUACCAAAAUAUGUUUUGCUUUCAUUUCCAUUGCAUAAGAACAUGAUAUCACACACUUACAUUUUGAUGGUUAACUUGAUCAAAAUUUUCAGGAAAAAGUUAUUUUAAAAAUAAUUUUGAUGUAGGAAUGAUUUGGGGUGAAAUUCAUUUGGUGCCAUUUAGGCCACAUUUUUUCAAUUGGGCGUAUGGUAUAUACUUUUUCAAAGCUGGUAACAAGAUGAACAAUGUUGCCCAUUUGCCUUUGAGUCUGAUGCCCGUGGGGCUUUUACGAAAUUGUACAAUUUCAGGACUCAAAAUCGCAUUUGAAGUUAUUUCAAAUUCCAGCACUUCGGGAAAUUUCUAAGAUUUGUACUUUACUACUUUUAUUUUCAUAACCAAUUCUUAUUUUCUUAACACAUUUUGGAGAACAUACAACUGAAAUCAUUUUUACCUAAUAACCCAGCAAAAAGCUACUACAUCUCACAAUGUUGACCUCUGGGCUAAUCAAGCAUUUGACUUUCCUAAUACAAUUUAUCACAAAACGAUUAUCCCUUUUCAUAUUUUAAGUUCAGUAAUAAGAAUGAGGGGGCACCUUCCAAAUGUAUGCACCUUUUUUAGUUUUAUCCCACAAAACUUUAUCACAAAACAAUGGCCUUUUCAUAUUUUCAGUUAUUGCUCAAUCCCUUCACAAAAAAUUAUGCACAUUUACAAGGGAUAGAAAAUUGAAAAGAAAAUUCUCGAUAAGAAAACAGUUGAAUAAUCAAAUUUCGAGUCUUUGGUGGACGUUAUUCUUUUAUACAUAAUAUAUCUUUGAGUUAAACAAUUAUUAAAACAUUGGGGCUAGUUUUUCAUUUAACUACAAAAUUACUUUUUUUGAAACCCAUAAAACCAUUUUUAAGUGGUAAAUUAGUUCUAUUACGUCUUCAACUAUUACCAAAUUCUUAUUCGAGUUCACCAUUUUAGUGGUAAAUGCGUUAUCUAAAUAAUUUCAAAUGAUGUAUUAAAUAAAUAUUUUGAGGAACAAUGCUCAUUAUGUCUCCUCUCAUUAAUUGUAUUUUUAAUUUCUUUUUAAAAGAUUCUCUCAUAAUCAAUUAAAAAAAAUUCAGCCACCCCAAAAAAAAAAAAAAAAAAAAAGGUAUUUAGCUUCGCGGCUGAAUGGGGCUAAAUUGUGUAUUGUUUGACUGGUGAAACUCUUACCACAUCGACUAAUAUGCUGCUUUUGGUAGUGGCAGUGGUGGCAGCAGAGGGACUAAUUAAGGUUUAUUAUGGUGAAGUCCUGGGUCAGUCGCUUUUGCUGAAAUGAUUGCAAGUAAUCUCCCACUAUGACUGCCAUUUUUAUCUUAUUUAAAUUUCGGUGAAGCCCAUCCACAUAAAAUAAUUGGCAGGAAGUGUGAAUGAGAAAAGAUCGUCCUAAUUCAAUGCCUGGGGAUGCUGCAAUCACUUUUUAUUACUAAAUAUUUUUAAAUUGGAAUAAGGUAUUAACGGAAUAAAAUUUUUCAUAAUCUAACAACCCGAGUCCUGAUUAAAUUCAAAUAAUAAUUAUAAUCAACAUCUAUAGGAAAAUGGAAGACGAGAAUCAUAUGUAAAAAGAAAUCAUUUCGUAUGCCCAUUACCGUAUUAUUAUUUGUACAUUAGAAAUUAAUAUAAAAUAAUAAUUUAAUAAUUAAUUUAAUAUAAUUAAUAAUAAAGCAGUAAUAAAUUUAAACAAUAUUAAUACAAAAUUAAUAAAGUAUAAUCUAACAUUAAAUACUAUACAAUAUUAUUAUAAUAAAAUACUAAUUCAAUACCACAUAAAGUAAUAUACUUGCAUUAUUUGGAACUGGCAUAAAGUAAAAUUAAUAAAGUAUAUCAACGCACAUGGAAAAUGCGACUUUUGAAGAAUGUAGUAAAUGGAAGGUUAAAUAGACUUCGUGCAUGCUGUAAAUUUAAAUGAAUCAUAAUUAAUUUCAAAAGGUAGUAAAUGGAAGGCCGAACAACUUUUUUAACAAACUGAAACAGAAUUAAAGCAGAGGAGGGAAAAUCAAUUGUGCUUUGUUGCAUAAUGUAUAUGACUGACUGACUGACUAACUAACUAACUACGAGUUUAGCUGCCUGCCACAUUAGCAUAAUAUAACACAUAACUAAUAUCAUUCCGCGUCGAGCAUGUCGUCAAGAUCCCCCUCUUGAAAGGAUUCCACUUACCACCUAAAUUCCAAAGCAAGAAGACUUGGUGCUGUAAGUCAAUAAAUAUUAUAUUAUUAAUUAAUUACACACCAUAUUCAACUUCUAUAAAUAAUAGUCAUUAUAUCUCUCUCUCUUCUUGUGAUUUCAUCAUCCAGAAAAGAAAAAGAAAAAGAAAAAGAAAAUGGGUUAUAUCACUCAGCCUUAUCAACUUUUUAUUUGCCUCCAGUUAUUGCUCUUCUAUUCUCAGUGUUCAGCAAUACUUUGCUCUCACGACCAAAGUUCUGCUUUACUCCAAUUUAAGCAGCUCUUUUCCUUUCAAAACCAUUCCUCAUUUGCUUGUGAAAUAUUUCAACAAAUAUCUCGUCCAAAGAUGAUGUCUUGGAAAGAGGACGCUGAUUGCUGCUCCUGGGAUGGAGUAACAUGUGAUUCGGCGACGGGUCACGUGAUUGGCCUCGACCUCAGUUGCAGUUGGCUUCACGGCAACAUCCCUUCCAACAGUAGCCUUUCCUUGCUUCCUCGCCUGCGAAAGCUCAACCUGGCCUUCAAUGAUUUCAAUUACUCUAAGAUUUCUUCUGGUUUUACUGAUCAAUUUCCGAGUUUGACACUCCUUAACCUCUCUACCAGCAAUUUCACGGGGUCAAUUCCUGCCUCACUAGGUAACAAUAUUACACAACUUGCUUAUUUGGAUCUUUCGUAUAACAGUUUUAGUGGUCACAUUCCAUCAUCUUUUUCAAAUCUUCAGCAGCUUCGUCAUUUAGAUCUUAUGGCCAAUAAUUUUGUUGGUGAAAUUCCUACAUCAUUAGGUAACAAUGUUACACAACUUGCUUAUUUGGAUCUUUCGUAUAACAGUCUUACUGGUCACAUUCCAUCAUCUUUUUCAAAUCUUCAGCAGCUUGGUUAUUUAAAUCUUCAGGACAAUAAGUUUGUUGGUAAAAUUCCGGAUAUGUUUACCAACCUAACCCAACUUUCUCUUUUAGGCUUGGCAAAUAAUCAACUGAUUGGCUCGAUUCCAAGUUCAAUCUUUGAACUUUUGAAUUUGACAUAUGUCUCUCUUUCUUUUAACAAUUUCAGUGGCAGCGUUGAGCUUUACGAUUUUGCAAAGCUCAAAAAUCUUAAAUUUCUUUCUCUUUCUAAUAUUAGUUUAUCAGUGAGCACCAAAUUAACAGUCAACUCGUCUUUCCCUAAUCUUCUGGGGUUGCGUUUAUCGGCUUGCAAUAUAAGUGAGUUUCCAGACAUCUUGAGAACUCAACAUCAGUUAGAGUGGUUGGGCCUUUCUAAAAACCAAAUCCAUGGUAGGAUUCCCAGUUGGAUGUGGGAUAUUGGAGUACAUACUUUGUGUUUUCUAAUUCUUUCACAAAACUUCCUGACAAGCAUAGACCAUCUUCCGUGGAAAGUCUUAAACUUAAUGGCAAUCGGUUGGAAGGACCAUUGCCUCCAUCUUUGGUUAAUUGUCGACAUUUGGAAGUUAUAGAUGUUGGGAACAAUCAGAUUAAUGACACCUUUCCCUACUGGUUAGACGUUCUUCUUGAAUUGCAAGUUCUUAUAUUGCGUUCUAAUAGAUUUUGGGGUCCUAUUGGUGAUACCAAAACAAGAGUUCCCUUUCCCAAGUUGCGAAUAAUUGAUUGCUCUCACAAUCAACUCACCGGUGUUUUGCCACUACGGUAUUUGGAUAGUUUUAAAGCCAUGAUGCAUGGGGAUAACAAUAGUGUUGAAGUCGGUUAUAUGAGGUGGCGGUAUUCCUCUAAUUACUAUGAGUCAAUAUUUCUGACUAUGAAAGGCAUUGACUUACAAAUUGAGAGGAUUCUAAAGACUUUUGCAACUAUUGAUUUGUCCAGCAAUAGAUUGUUAGAAAAUUGGUGGGUGAAGCAGGACCGCAGCUAAAAUGAAUUUGGAAGGAAAUAAAGAACAAGCACAAUAGAGGACACCAGGAAUUAUGUGGUUUGGCUUUUAACCUACGUCCACGGGCGAAAACAGAAGAAAAAUAUUUCACUAGUGAAAUAAAGAUUACAAGUAUUGUAAUAUUUUAGCUCACUACCCAAAACCCCAAUACACCCAAUCUAGGGGUGGGCAAAAAAAGUUGAUUAAUCAAAAAUCGAACCGAACCGAUCGGUUCGGUUUAGUUUUUAUGCGGUUUUUUUACCUCUAAAAAACCGAAAUAGUAGUAUAAUAUAAAUAGUAAAACCAAUCGGUUCGGUUUUCGGUUUUUUAAAAAAAUCAAAAAACCGAACCGGAAUCUCAAAUAAACCGAUUGUAAAAAAACCCUAAAGCUUAAAUCUAAACACUUCUGACUUCUGUCUCCCGCUGGCUGCUGCUCUGUUCGCUGGCCGCUUCUUCUGUUCCCGCUGUCCGCUGCUCGUCGUGACCUUCAACCAAAAGCAAAAACCGAACUCGUGAGUCGUGACCUUCAGCCACAGGCUCGAGUCGUGACCUUCAGCCACACUUCUGUCUUCUUCUGUCCCCUCUGCUCGUCGCCGCCGUUGCUCGUCAGUCGUCACUACUGCUGCUGCCACUGUCACCUGCCGUGUGAACUGUGAAGAUUGGUAUUUGUUUUCUGGAAGUUUAUCUCUCAGCAACCUUACGAAGUUCUCCUUUCCUUCACUCUCGAUCGCCUUCACAAUGUAAAAAAAAAAAAAGUUUUGAUUUCAAUCGAAGUUCUUCAGUGAUGGAAGCGGAUUGAUAUUGUUAUUUCUUGUAAUUGAAAGGAACCGGAACUUCUUCGAGUAAAUGCAAGAUUUGGUGAUAUUUAAUUUUUGUGAUUUUGUAAUUGAAAGGAACCGCUGCUGAAAUGUUUCAUGUUUGUACCUGUGUUACGGAAAUGGAGAAUUUAGAUAACCAUCAAAUCAUGAGUGGUAAUAAUGGAGAAUUUAGACAGUUCUCCAAUUAACUGUCUUUGGCAUUUCCAAUUAACUCUGUCUCUCUCUGCACCUUUUGCCUUGACUUACUGUCUUCUUCGCUUUUGUUUAUGCUUUCACUUAAACUUUCAGCUUCCAUGAUCAUUAUGGUGCCCAUAAAAUGCUUUACUUUCUAUGAAAAUUUGCCUGUUGGGUUGGCCAUUUAUAUUUGUACGUGGCUAGUCGAAGAAUUGCAGGUCCUCGAGUUCUUUACAUUUAAUUAGUUACAAUUCUUAAUUUAAUUGCAGGACUUGAAGUACUUAUAUAAGACAAUCAAGUCAUAUUAUUGUUGCAUGUUGCCAUGUUGAUGGGAUUCUCACUUUCUCAGUCUGGAAGGCUGCUUAAAUGGAAAUCCAAUUGAUGAAUUUGUGUACUGUGGAUUAAUAUUUUCUUCCUCAAAACAUUUUAUCCUCUUAGAAAUUAAGAUUGUAGCAAGCUUUUUUUAUUUUAUUUUACAAUUUUUGUUUGUUAACUUUUUAUAUUUGUGGUAGAUUUAUUAAUUUAAGGUUUUAAAUUUAAAAAAAUCCAAAAUAGGUCCAAUAGGUCCAUAAUCGAAAUAAUCGAACCGAACCGAAUCGAAUUAUUUUGAUUAAUCGAGUAUUUGAUUAUUUCAAUAAUUUGAUUAAUCGCGAUUAUGAUUUUAAAAUAAUCGUAAUCGAACGAUUAUGAAAAAAUUAGUAAAAAACCGAACCGAACCGAACUGCGUCCACCCCUAACCCAAUCUCUUACUCACUAGACACUCAAGAGUUUAUUAAACUCUUAAUACUCCCAACACUAAAAGAAAGCAAUGCUUGUCUCUCGAUGGAAUUGGAUACAAGCUCUAGAUUGAGAGCUUGUAUUUAUAGGCAAAACUUUGCCUCAAAUGUCAAACAAGUGGCCAUAAACUUCAAGCCAUACAACUCAAAAAUUUCAAACUUUGAAUUUUUAGCUUUGAAUUUUUCUUUUCUUUUACCAAACAUCACGGCAUCUAGAAUUUCAAAGCCAAGUGCCAACCAUUCUUGUUUAUUCAAAGCUUCUAGAUGCAGCCAAUUUUGACAUUCUCCCACUUGGAGAUUAAAUUGAAAAACAAUCAAUCUCCACACCAUCCUUUCUGCUUCGCCAUAAUUAUAUUGCCUACGUUUCUGCUAGGCGACAAGAGGAUCUACUCCAGAUAAACUUGUCAGCAUUUAUCGGCUUGGUCAAAACAUCUGCUAGGUUCUCUUUGGUAUGGAUUUUCUGCAAAUCCACACUUCCAUCUUCCACUACUUCUCGAACGAAGUGAUAUUGAACUCCUAUGUGCUUUGUCCUGGAAUGAAAGGCUGGAUUCCUUGCAAUGUGCAAGGCACUCUGACUGUCACAAUACACAAGAAUUUUAUGUUGUUUGUGCCCGAGCUCCUCCAAUAAUCUUUGUAUCCAAAUAGCUUCCUUGCAAGCUUGUGUAGCUGCCAUGUAUUCUGCUUCUGUUGUAGAUAAAGCCACAACGGUCUGCAGUUUAGAAACCCAGCUUACAGCUGCUCCUGCAAGUGUAAACACAUAACCAGUAAUGGAUUUUCUUUUAUCAAGGUCUCCUGCAAAAUCUGAAUCCACAUAGCCCCUGACAGUAAACUCUGAUCCUCCAUAACAUAAUGCAACAUUUGAGGUUCCUCUGAUGUAUCUCGGAAUCCUCUUCACAGCUAUCUAAUGCUCUCCACCAGGAUUCGUCAUGUAUCGACUGACUGCUCCCACUGCUUGUGCAAUGUCCGGUCUUGUACAUAUCAUAGCGAACAUUAAACUUCCCACUGCUAAUGCAUACGGUACUCGAGACAUCUCCUUCCUCUCCGCUUCAUUGCUAGGACACAUACUUGAGGAUAAUUUGAAAUUAACAGGAAGUGGGGUAGAAAUUGACUUACAAUCUUGCAUGUUAAAGCGUCGCAAGAGUUUCUUCAAGUAAUUCUUCUGCGAAAGUCAAAUCUUCCUGUUAUUUCUGUCUCGGUGAAUUUGCAUCCCUAGAAUCUUGUUUCCUGGUCCCAAGUCCUUCAUUUCAAACUCCCUAGCCAACUGUGCCUUCAAUUCUUGGAUUCGAUCUUUGUUGGGACCUGCUACCAACAUGUCAUCCACAUACAACAACAAAAUAAUGAAAUCAUUAUCUUCAAACCUCUUGUAAUAUGCACAAUGGUCUGAAUUGAGUCUGUUGUAUCCAAGGCUCAUGAUGAAGGAAUCAAAUCUCUUAUACCAACACCUCGGCAUCUGUUUGAGACCGUAUAGAGAUUUGUUCAACAUGCAAACCAAGUUCUCAUUUUCUAUUUCUGCAAAACCUUCUGGUUGGAGCAUAUAUAUUUCUUCUUCAAGUUCUCCAUGAAGAAAUGCAGUUUUCACAUCUAACUGCUCUAGAUGUAAGUCAAAUGUAGCACACAUCGCCAAGACUACUCUGACUGUUGUGAGUCGAACCACCGGAGAAAAUAUCUCAUUGAAGUCAAUACCUUCUUUCUGAGCAUAUCCUUUCACCACCAAUCUCGCACGAUACCGCUCCACUUGGUCAUUACCAUCACGUUUGAUUUUGUAGACCCAUUUGUUUCCAAUGACUUUUCUUCCACGUGGUAAUGGUACAAGUUCCCAUGUCUUGUUCUUAUGUAGAGCUUCAAUUUCUUCCUGCAUUGCUGUCAUCCACAAAGCAACAUCUGAGCUUUCUAAAGCUUCAUGGAAAGUUGAUGGCUCUCCAUCCUCUGUUAGAAGACAAUACGCAAUAUUGAUCUCUGUGACAUACUCUGAGUGCCACACUGGCGGUCGUCUAUCACGAGUUGACCGAUGAACUUCUAGAGCCUCAGACUCGACUGGUUCUUGUUCCUCGUGCUCUGGUGCUGCUUCAGAAGAAUCUAAAUCUUCUGGAUUAUUUUCGACAUAUACCGGUACAGUCUCUGAUUUUUCUUUUGCAGUGCUAUCAUUCUCAUCUCUCAUUUGCAGUUGAUCUUCUACAAAGAUAACAUCUCUGCUGAUGACGAUCUUGUGGGCAGUGGGGUCCCACAGACGAUACCCCUUUACUCCAUUAGCAUAUCCCAAGAAGAUACAUCUUCUAGAUUUUGCAUCCAGCUUUGUUCUUUCUUGGGCAUUGUACAUCACGUACACAGGACAUCCAAAUGCAUGUAGGUAGGAAUAAUCAGCUGGCUUUCCAGUCCACAUCUCCAUCACUAUCUUCAGCCCAAUUGCUGUAGAUGGUGAUCAAUUUACUAUAUAACAGGCAGUUUUGGCUGCUUCUGCCCAGAAUGAAUUGGGUAGACCAGCAGUCCUCAACAUAGCUCGUAUUCUUUCUGUAAGAGUUCUGUUCAUCCGCUCUGCCACUCCGUUUUGUUGAGGAGUGUAUGCCACCGUGAACUGCCUCUGAAUACAUUCUUGCUUACAGAAAGCAAGAAACUCGCCGUCUGUAUACUCUCCACCAUUAUCCGUCCUCAAGCACUUGAUCUUUUUACCAGAUUCAAGUUCCACCCGCGAUUUGUAUUCUUUAAGCACAGGAAAUACAUAUGACUUUUUCUUAAUUGGAUACACCCAACAUCUUCUGGAAUAAUCAUCAAUGAAAGUCACCAUGUACUUUGCACCUCCCAUGAAUAUAUUCGGUGAUUCCCAAACAUCAGAAUGAAUCAAGUCUAGAAUGCAUUUACUUCUAGCAAUAGAUCUACUGAAUUUUAAUUUAUGCUGCUUACUUAUAACACAAUGCUCACAAAAUGGUAAACUUACCGAUUUGAGCCCCGAAAGUAAUUUUCGCUCAGAGAGAAUCUUCAAACAGUGUUCUGACAUGUGACCAAGUUUGAGAUGCCACAUCAUCGUUGACUCUUCUCCAUUUGAUGCGACACACGCAUCAGCCUCCUGUAGUGUUUCUCCUUUAAGCAUGAAUAAAUUAGCACCGCUCUUUUCUGCCUUUAUCAAUACAAGCGCUCAUUUAACGAUCUUCAUAAUUCCAUUCUCCUCAUGAGUUUUGUACCCAUGACUAUCCAUUUGUCCCAAAGACAAUAGAUUUUUCUUCAGGCCGUUGACAUGUCGUACCUCUCCUAUUGUGCGAAUUGUACCAUCAAAUAUUUUUAUUUUGAUAGUACCAAUAUCAGCGAUCUCCAAGGCAUGAUCAUCUCCCAUAUAUACAGAUCCUCCUUAAAUAGGUUCAUAUGUGUGGAACCAUUCUCUCCGGGAGGUCAUGUGCCAGAUAGCUCCUGAGUCUAUAAGCCAGACAUCAUAUAGUCGUUUUAUGCCUUCUGAAAUAGUUGUUGCCUCGCUGUAAAGAAUUUCGCCAUCAUCUGAGGUACUUGCUACACACCCCUGAGCAUUUGAUGACUCAGGUUCUUUACCCUCUCUUCUCUUCUGAUUACUCCAACACUCCUUUUUAACGUGCCCUUUCUUGCCAUAGUUGUAGCAUUUAACAUUCUUCUUACUUCUAGAUUUUGAUCUACCAUGAUUUUGACUCCCACUAGGGCCACGUUCCGUUGAUCUCCCUCUCAUCACCGAUAGCGCCUCCGCUUGCUGCGAACUUGCUUGUCUAUUUUCCUUAUUUUUCCGCCUGCUCUCGUCAUUUAAUACGGAGGCUGCAACAUCGUCGAAAACUAGACUGUCCACUUGAUUGUUGUUCGUCAGGUUGAUGAUAAGUUGAUCAUACGAAUCUGGUAGACUUUGAAGUAGAAGCUCUGCACGUUCAUUUUCCUCUAUAUUAUGACCCAACGUUGUGAGUUGUGAAAAUAGAGUCUUCAAGGUGUUGAUGUGGUCGGUCAUAGAUUCCGUCAUUCGAAGAGUAUAGAGUUUUCUCUUCAAGAAGAUUUUGUUGUGUAGUGACUUGGCCUCGUAUAAUUUUGUAAGAGUAUCCCAUAUUUCCUUCGCUAUAUUUUUCUCUACCACACUGGAUAAUACUCCAUCUGCAAGUGCCAAGUGUAGAUCAGAAAUGGCGUUGCCAUCUAUCUCGUUCCACUUGUCAUCGGUUAUCUCUAUGGGCAUUUCUCCAAUUGCUGCCAAGCAAUUAUUUUUCCUUAAUACAACUUUCAUCUUCAUUUUCCACAACGAAAAAUUAUUUCCGUUAAACUUCUCAAUUUUAUACUUUGCCGCCAUUUUGUUGAUAAAUAUCGCACACAAGUUAGUGUACCACCUUGAAUAGUUGUGAGUAUGUGUGAGAAUGCACACCAAGAAAGUUCCUAGGAAAGACUGGAGGGGUCACAAUGGUCCCACUUAAAACCCAGACUCCUUAAGCUCUUAUCGCCCUUGUGACAGAACUUUCCUAGACAUGUACAAAAACCACACAGUUGUUUUACUCACACCACUAUUCCCUACUUUGCACCGCAAAAUUCUUGGAUCGCUCCCACCGUUUCACGUGAAUAGUACCGUAUACGUGAACAAUACCGUAUACGUGAAUAGUGCCGUAUACGUGAACAGUACCUGACUCCAAAAAAUACAACCAAUAGCUCUGAUACCACUGUUAGAAAAUUGGUGGGUGAAGCAGGACCGCAGCUAAAAUGAAAUUGGAAGGAAAUAAAGAACAAGCACAAUAGAGGACACCAGGAAUUACGUGGUUCGACUUUUAACCUACGUCCACGGGCGAAAAUAGAAGGAAAAUAUUUCACUAGUGAAAUAAGGAUUACAAGUAUUGUAAUAUUUUAGCUCACUACCCAAAACCCCAAUACACCCAAUCUCUUACUCACUAGACACUCAAUAGUUUAUUAAACUCUUAAUACUCUCAACACUAAAAGAAAGCAAUGCUUCUCUCUCGAUGGAAUUGGAUACAAGCUCUAGAUUGAGAGCUUGUAUUUAUAGGCAAAACUUUGCCUCAAAUGUCAAACAAGUGGCCAUAAACUUCAAGCCAUACAACUCAAAAAUUUCAAACUUUGAAUUUUUAGCUUUGAAUUUUUCUUUUCUUUUACCAAACAUUACGGCAUCUAGAAUUUCAAAGCCAAGUGCCAACCAUUCUUGUUUAUUCAAAGCUUCUAGAUGCAGCCAAUUUUGACAUAGAUUUCAAGGGAAAAUUCCAGAAGUAGUGGGAAAGUUGAAUUCACUCAAAAGUCUCAACAUUUCUCACAACAACCUGACAGGUGGUAUUCCUUCAUCGCUGAGAAAUCUGACAGAGCUUGAAUCUCUAGACCUCUCUUCAAACAAGCUUGCUGACGUAUCCCAACACAACUAGCGAGUCUCAAUUAUCUUGCGGUGUUGAAUCUUUCGAACAACCAGCUCAAAGGACCCAUACCAGGAGGACCCCAAUUUAAUACAUUUGGAAUUGAUUCCUAUUCUGGUAACUCGGGGCUGUGUGGAUUCCCAUUCUUAAAAAGCUGCAACAUUGAUGAGGCACCAAAACCAACAACACCAACAUGAUUUAUCGAAGGAGACGAUGCUUCAAGCUGGUUUGAUUGGAAGCUCGCUAUGUUGGGUUACGCAUCUGGAGUGGUGAUCGGCUUGUCCAUCAGAUACAUGGCAUUUUUGACUGGAAGGCCACAAUGGUUUGUAAGAAUGAUCGAAAGGAAGCAAUCCAGGAAGCUGAGAAGGGUGAUCAGACGAGGCAGAGCUGGUAGAAGAAGUUUGUUGGUGCAUCUCUAAAGGCCCAAGUGAGUAAUUAUUAGUUUGUCUUUUGGAAUUAUAAGCUGGUUUCUACUGUUCUUUAAGUAGAUAGCAUGUUGAUAUUAUCGUAAUCUAACAGUUGACUUGCAAAAAUCACAAUCCUAAUUAAUUUCAAAUUAUGCUUAUUAUCAACAUCUAUAGUGAGAAACAAAAUGAGGAUAAUGUAUAAGAAAGAAAAUUUUAACUGAAUUAUUGAUGCGAUUGUUUUUACUUUUAUUGCCAUUUCAUUAGAACAUGUCGUCACGGAUGUACAUUUUGAUGGUAAAAUGAUUUGAAGUAAUAUUGUUGCAGGAAAUUGUGCGGGGGUAACUUUGGUUUGUAAUCAUGUACUUCAAAUUUGGGCGUAGAACGUGCUAUUUCAAAGUUUGUGAGCAGACAACGUU